CGGACGGGUGAGUAACACGUGAGUAACCUGCCCCCCGACCUCGGGAUAAGCCCGGGAAACUGGGUCUAAUACCGGAUAUGACGACCGAAGGCAUCUUUUGGUUGUGGAAAGUUUUUUCGGUUGGGGAUGGGCUCGCGGCCUAUCAGUUUGUUGGUGAGGUAAUGGCUCACCAAGACGACGACGGGUAGCCGGCCUGAGAGGGCGACCGGCCACACUGGGACUGAGACACGGCCCAGACUCCUACGGGAGGCAGCAGUGGGGAAUAUUGCACAAUGGGGGAAACCCUGAUGCAGCGACGCAGCGUGCGGGAUGACGGCCUUCGGGUUGUAAACCGCUUUCAGCAGGGAAGAAGCCUUUAUCGGUGACGGUACCUGCAGAAGAAGUACCGGCUAACUACGUGCCAGCAGCCGCGGUAAUACGUAGGGUACAAGCGUUGUCCGGAAUUAUUGGGCGUAAAGAGCUCGUAGGUGGUUGGUCACGUCUGCUGUGGAAACGCAACGCUUAACGUUGCGCGUGCAGUGGGUACGGGCUGACUAGAGUGCAGUAGGGGAGUCUGGAAUUCCUGGUGUAGCGGUGAAAUGCGCAGAUAUCAGGAGGAACACCGGUGGCGAAGGCGGGACUCUGGGCUGUAACUGACACUGAGGAGCGAAAGCAUGGGGAGCGAACAGGAUUAGAUACCCUGGUAGUCCAUGCCGUAAACGUUGGGCACUAGGUGUGGGGGACAUUCCACGUUCUCCGCGCCGUAGCUAACGCAUUAAGUGCCCCGCCUGGGGAGUACGGUCGCAAGGCUAAAACUCAAAUGAAUUGACGG
rnacentral:rRNA from 1 species